GGCAGGGGCGGAGGACCCAUCAACCGGCAGUGCCAGCACUGUCUUGGGGUGAAGCCUCCGAGCAGCACAGGAAUUCCGCACAGCGGUACUCCCGCGCGUCGUGGGCCGAGUUCUCUACUCGAAUCCGACAGCUAACUUCGCAGGCUUUGUAGAGAGGG
rnacentral:sRNA from 1 species